rnacentral:sRNA from 1 species
GGGCGCUGGGCGGGUCCGCGGCGCGGUCGGUCGGCGCCUAUUCUCGGGCUGUUUGGCGGACGAAGCUUCACAAAAGAUGUCUAAGGUGAAUCAGGUCUAGGAAAAUCGACUCUCAUAAACAGCCUAUUCCUAACUGAUCUGUACCCAGAAAGAGUCAUACCUGGAGCAGCAGAAAAAAUUGAAAGAACCGUCCAGAUUGAGGCUUCAACUGUUGAAAUUGAAGAGCGAGGGGUCAAGCUACGCCUGACAGUGGUAGAUACCCCUGGCUAUGGUGACGCUAUCAACUGCAGAGAUUGUUUUAAGACAAUUAUCUCCUAUAUUGAUGAGCAAUUUGAGAGGUACCUGCAUGACGAGAGCGGCUUGAACAGGCGGCACAUCAUUGAUAAUAGGGUGCAUUGUUGCUUUUACUUUAUUUCACCUUUUGGACAUGGACUUAAGCCCUUAGAUGUGGCGUUUAUGAAGGCAAUACACAACAAGGUGAAUAUUGUGCCUGUCAUUGCAAAAGCUGACACUCUCACCCUGAAGGAACGGGAGCGGCUGAAGAAAAGGAUUCUGGAUGAAAUUGAAGAACAUAACAUCAAAAU